AUACGUAGGGGGCUAGCGUUGUCCGGAAUUAUUGGGCGUAAAGCGCGCGUAGGCGGACCAUCAAGUUGGGCGUGAAAGCCCUGGGCUCAACCCAGGAACUGCCUUUGAUACUGGUGUGCUAGAGUCCGGGAGAGGGUAGCGGAAUUCCCAGUGUAGAGGUGAAAUUCGUAGAUAUUGGGAAGAACACCGGUUGCGAAGGCGGCUACCUGGAACGGUACUGACGCUGAGGUGCGAAAGCGUGGGGAGCAAACAGGAUUAGAAACCCCAGUAGUCC
rnacentral:rRNA from 1 species